AGUAGCGAGCGCAGAUCGGCGAGUCGCGACACGCGCCGAGCUGUCACCAGAGAUCGCCACGCCAUGGCAGAGCUGGAACCUCUCGACGCGGGCGGCGUCUGGGUGUGGGACGCCGAAGCCGACGCCGAUGAUCGGGUCGUGGACUGCCUGCAGCCAGCACCCUACAGCGACGACCAAGCCCAAGAUGAAACCGAUGUGACGGACAAGUGCAGACUCCUCCACGACCUUGCAUGAUGACGAUGCUUUCGCCACCCGAGUCCAGUUUGUCGACGAUUGAUUCGCUGCACCUGCAAACAUCAACACCACCCAGUACAUCAUCAUCAGUGUGGUACAGGCUGAUGCCACUAACUCAUUUGCCAUCACAGCCACACUCUCCACACCCUGAGCCAUCUUUGAAUCGUCAUUGACCUUCGUCUCCAGGUGCACUCGAUGAUAAUACUGUGAUGAUGAGAUGGAGGACAUACGCAGACACAGGUUUCCACCUGAACAACAACUCCAUAACUCAAUACGAUGAUGAUGCAUUCGUCACCCCAGCCCAAUUUGUUGAUGAUGUAUUCGCCACACCUAGGUAAACCACCACAGCCUGGCCUAUCAUCAUCAAAACAGUAUGCACUGAUGACACAUAAUGCCACCCCAAAACAUCAGGGAACCUCCACCUUGCUACACUCGCUGGACAGUGUGUCUAAAGCGUUCAGCCUGACCGGGUUGCCUCCAAACACGUCUCCGACGAUUGUGUGGUUGAACGCAUAUGCGACACUCAUCGGUGAUGCAAAAUCCUGAGCGAUCCAUUUGGCAUUUUGUUGGACCUAUCUGUA